rnacentral:rRNA from 1 species
UACGUAGGGGGCAAGCGUUGUCCGGAUUCAUUGGGCGUAAAGAGCGUGUAGGCGGCCAGGUAGGUCGGUUGUGAAAACUGGAGGCUCAACCUUCAGAGGUCGACCGAAACCAUCUGGCUAGAGUCCGGGAGAGGAGAGUGGAAUUCCUGGUGUAGCGGUGAAAUGCGCAGAUAUCAGGAAGAACACCCGUGGCGAAAGCGGCUCACUGGAUCGAUACUGACGCUGAGGUGCGAAAGCUAGGGUAGCAAACGGG